GAUGACUUUAGCCAAGCUUAGGGUAGAAAAAGCUAAGGAGUGAGAUCCUGUCUUGUCUCUUCCUCCCCUGCUCCUUCCUUUCCUCCCCAACUCCCUCCCUUCCUCUGCCCACCCACCCAUCCUUCCCUUUGGCAGCAGAUGCUCAUUGAGGGCUCAUUGUGCUACCUCGCUGAGGCGGUGUGCCAGGUGUCAGGAGUACAGUGGCGAGCAAAACAGACCUCCAGUACCUGCGUUUUGGGAGCUUCAAAUCAGGAUACCAGAGUCCACGCAGUCUCUGGAGCCAGACAGCCUGAGUUCAAAUUCCAGAUCAGAUGCUCAGCGAAGGAUGUCGGGUGACUACUGCAGCAGCACACAACAUUCAACCAGGAAUGGAAUUUCAGGAACUGCUCUUUAUUUCCCUUCUGGUCUCUCGAGUGGUUGAUCUGUCUAGAGCUCUGAUAAUCUCCGAGACAAAAUAUUUAAAUCUUCUGCAGCUCUAGGGACUUUGAGGAAGGAAUAUUGUGGCUAAAAUCCUAAAUAUUUUGGAAGAUCAUUAAUGCAAGGGUUAUACACCAGAUGCUGUUCAGCACAAUCUCCAUCCCAAGAGAAUGUGUCAAUAUCUUUAUAUAUGGAAAUGUACAUGUAUACUCAUAAAUUUCUCCAGCCUCCCAAUUCUUUAUCUCUUUCCCCUUUGAAGCUGGCUUUUACUUAGCCCCCGCUUACUUUAACAUACAUUUUUUCUCUUUGUUUUCAGAAAGGGAUAAAAAAUUGUUACCAUAAAUGAUUGAUAGAGGCUGGAUUUUUUUAUUGUUAUCUCUUCCAGGGGGGAACUUGCCUUUUCAUAGAGAAUGAAGCUUUAAUCCAAAGGAUUGACUGUCUGAUUGUUGAAUUUCAAAUAUAGGCAGGGCUGAUUGAAGGUAUAGGGUUUUUCAAAUGUUCUUAAAAUCAUAAUGUAUGAGUAAAGGCGUAACACUGAUGGGUCUACAGUGCAGGACAUUUUCCAAAGGGCGUGAAAGUCACUGUGUGACUCCUGUUGAUGCUUCUUUAUUCUUGUUGUAUAGAAAAAGUAAUUGAUUUCUUAAGAAGUGUGUUAAGCCCAAAACCCUGUGCCCAGUAUUUUUUUAGAACAACCCUAAAAAGGAGACAGAAUUAUCUUUACUUUACACCCAAGACAGCUGAAGAUGGCAGCAGCUAAGGGGCUUGCUCGGGACCACACAGCUAAGAAUUAGAGUUGAGCCUCAGAGCUGGCUCUUGGGUCUGGAUCACCUCCCUCGGUUCAAUAUAGUCCUGUCUCAAUAUACCCACUGCCCCACCUCCUGAUUUUUAAGGUAUUACAAGUUAAACACGGAACAAAUAGUCUAGAUCAGUUACAUUUUGAAAUAACAUAGCAGUUAUAAUAUGGAUGAUAUGCUUGAAAUAAAAUAAUCCUGAUAAUGGAGCA
rnacentral:lncRNA from 1 species